rnacentral:rRNA from 1 species
GACGAACGCUGGCGGCGUGCUUAACACAUGCAAGUCGAGCGAUGAAGCUCCUUCGGGAGUGGAUUAGCGGCGGACGGGUGAGUAACACGUGGGCAACCUGCCUUAUAGAGAGGAAUAGCCAUCCGAAAGGAUGAUUAAUACCUCAUAAUAUUGUAGCUUCGCAUGAAGCAACAAUCAAAGGAGCAAUCCACUAUAAGAUGGGCCCGCGGCGCAUUAGCUAGUUGGUGAAGUAACGGCUCACCAAGGCGACGAUGCGUAGCCGACCUGAGAGGGUGAUCGGCCACAUUGGGACUGAGACACGGCCCAGACUCCUACGGGAGGCAGCAGUGGGGAAUAUUGGACAAUGGGGGCAACCCUGAUCCAGCAAUGCCGCGUGGGUGAUGAAGGCCUUCGGGUUGUAAAGCCCUUUCGGCGGGGACGAUGAUGACGGUACCCGCAGAAGAAGCCCCGGCUAACUUCGUGCCAGCCGCCGCAGUAAAAC